UUAACAUCUAAGGCUCAGCCUUGCGUUGACCGUUCCCGUUCCGGGAGCGGUUGAAAAACAUGAAGACUCCAAAGCUGGAAGCAGUACGCAAAAGUAUUUGUGACCAGGGCUUGGGUCUUGAUAUCCUGAC
rnacentral:misc_RNA from 1 species